GUGAACAUAACGAUGCCACCAAUGUCUCAUCACGGAGACACAACUCGAGGAGGAGAUGAUAGAUUAUGCAACUUGGAGUAUAUUCCAAAUAAAGGAUUGAUGGUGAACCCAGAAUUUGAUCGAGCUGCCUAAGGUGAACUGGGCAUGUGGCACAUUAAAUUCGUCAACUGUCCAAUCAUUGAUGCUUGCAAUCAUGAAAUCGGACAAAGAAGCUAUAGUUCUACUAUGACCAACAACAUCAAAGGUUCCUUGCAUAUAUUUGGCAGGCAGAAUCCAUCGUCAUCCCACGCUUGUUUGUGCACUCCAUCAUUCCUAAGAACAUUGAAACAAGUACUCAAAAGCAUAGGUUCAUUC